rfam:Aedes albopictus isolate Foshan contig56160, whole genome shotgun sequence.
UGCCCAGCAACUCCUAUCCCUACCUCCUCGCGGUACCGGCCGAAAACUAUGAGCAACCUUAGGGAAGA